AUAGAUGUCCACUGACGUCUUUUACACGUCUAGACUAGACUAGUAGGAAAAAAACAGAAUUAUCUUUAUGAAAUACACGAUUUGUAUACAAAGUAAAUAUAUUAACUUUAUCUUGUUUAAAUAAAUUAUAAUCUUAAAGUGCCCAGUGUGAUUGCAAAGCCACAAUACAUUUUAGUCAUUAUUACAACCUGCUUUAUUAUUAAAUGUAUGCAUAUAAAUGUAAAGAAAGUAUAUAUCCGGUUACCAUUUAGGUCUGAGUUGGAUGUAAUUUCAUAAACUGCGCUGCCAAGAAUGUUUUAACAAAAUAUUUUACAAAAUCGCGCGAUAGGAUAGAUUUUCUCGCGAGAUAGUUGUCACGUGACGUGUUCUCCCGGAAGUACGUCGUGUGCAGCCAGCAAGCCACGAGGAGAGGGUGAAUUUACGAAGGAGUUGUGUCUAUAUAUUAUAUAAAAUCUACUAUUGGUUGAAGAUCAACACAAACCAAAUGAAGAUGUUGUAGAUUCUACAAAUAAAAAAGAAGGUGAUGGCACACAUCAUGACAGUAAACAUCGGUAUCAAGAUGGUGUGAUUGAUCUAUACCCUAGAAUAAGCUGUGACACUGAUGCUGUGGUCACAUAAUGAACAGCCAUCUUACAGACAACCGAAAGAGUAUUGUCUACAAUCCCAAAUUCUGGAUUGACGAUCCAGUACCAGUGGGCACCCCAAUCCCAGAGAGCAUCCAUCUGAAACCAGGUGAGGUAACACAACGAAAAAAUUACCGGAUGGAGACUACCUGAUUCUUCACCUAUGGCCUUAGCUUCAAAUGCAAGAAGUCCAGCAACUGUCUGAGUUGGUGGAUAUUCUGUCAGAGACUCCGUGGACAACGUUAUGAAUAGGUUAUUUGUCUAAGGUGAAGUAAUCUUACAGUUCUUUCACAGAAUGAUGUGAAAUUGUCUUAUGGCAAAGUUCAAUAUGAAGGGUGGUGGACAUCAGGAAAAGAAGUCUUUUAAAGGCACACCUUUGUAUUAUGUUAUUUAAGAUGCUGUGAAGAGGUGGAGCCCAAAUGCCACCGAAUCGGAAAUAGAUGCAGCUAUGGCAGACCACCUCAAGCACGCUCCUGGAAGAGCUGGGGGUGGUGGAUACAAAAAAGCCUAACAGCUGUGAUGUGUUAAAGAGAGAGUUCACCAAAAAAGGAAAAUUGUUAUAAUUUUCUUAUCCACAUGUUUCAAACCUGUAUACCUUUCUAUUUUCUGCUGAACACAAAGAUUGAAGAAUGUUUGUAACUUCACAACCCAUUAACUGUCAAUAUUUUUUUUUUUACAAUUGUAGUAAUGGGUUGUGAGAUCUGCUUUGUUAAAAACAUUCUUUCAAAUAUCUUUGUGUUCAGCAGAACAUAGAAAGGUAUACAGGUUUGAAACAUGAGAUGGAAUAAAUGACUAAAUAUUAAUUUUUGGGUGAACUAUCCCUUUAUAGAAAGUGUUUUGAAAUUGUUAUUAUAGUUAAAUGGUUAAAAAAUAAAAAGUGCUAAAUCAGAA